CCCUGGGUAAUGUAAACGGUUAAUGUACUCAGCUGCUAACUGAAAUGUUGGUGGUUCAAGUCCACCUAUAGUGG
rnacentral:tRNA from 1 species